rnacentral:lncRNA from 1 species
CGCUUCUUAGAAAGGAAUAGGCCCUGUCACUUCCCAGGUAGCUUUCAGCAGCCCCUACCACCUCUCCCACCUACCUUCGACAGAGUUGCUUGCCAGCCUUCUCAGCUGGGGCUUCCUGGCAACUACACCUUGCCAGGGCUUGCAGCCCAGCAGCAUGGCAGGGGCUAAUGGCCACAGGGUUGUCAUGGGAAGCACCAGAGGGCCACAGGAUCCCUAGCCUGGGCCUGUCUCUAGGUAACCUCAGAAUGCAGGCAUGGAAGAGGAUCAACCCCUUGUCGGGCAGCAGAGGAGACUGAGGCAAAGAGAAGAAACCUUUCUGAUGUGCUCCUCCUCACUGGACCUUUCUUGUCCAGCUUCCCUUCCAUGGCCCACACCAGGAGGCAGCAACUGGCUGGCUGUGCACAAGGAUGGAAAUGGAUUACACCAGGGUGUGCACUGACCCAGGGACCAUGCGUCCAAAUGCUGGUCGACUUCCCCCAGGGUGGAAAAUGGCUUCUGACAGACCUGGGCCUGGCAUCCCACGAUUCCCACCACCACAGAGGAACUCCCCAGGAGUGACUUGGACUGGCAUAGGUUGGGCCGGCUGUCGGCCCUGGCCAGGAAGCCUGAGUGCAUCUAGUAUGCAGCCUGCGCCAGGUACCCCUCCCCGGACCUGUGUGCCCAGGAUGCCAUGUGCUGGAGCCUGGCAGGGGAGGGAGAAGGGAGUGGAGUGACCCCAGCCCCACCCCACUGUCCCACUGCAGGGCAGUGGAUUCCCGGCCUCUUACUGGUCCUG